UGCUUAAGACCUUUAAUAAAGUCGCAUAUUCGUACACAUUUAUAAUAAUUUUAUACCAUUUGAGUUAUUUCUUGAAAUAACUGAAAGAAAUAUAGUUUCAGAAUUUGGAUAUAAAUAUUUUUCAAGUCUAUACUUUUAUUUAGAAUGUAGAUAUUUGCAAUUUUAAUUUUCGUUUUGUUUGUAAAUAUAAAAAAGACAGCAUGGCGCGGAUAAAGCGAAAAGAAAUGUCAAAACAUUUUACUAUUUUAUUCCUAUUCUUUCAAACCCUGUGUCAUAUAUGUCACAGUCUGGAAACAGUAGAAAGUCACAAUCAAGCUUUCAUACAGACAGACAAACAUUUAACAUAUAUAGUAGGGGAUGUUAGUUCUGGAAUUCCAAUUGAGGUUAAAGCAGGACAAGUUUAUAAUGAUUAUAUAGGGUAAG